UCAGUUUAACAAGUGUAUCCCAAGGGUGU
rnacentral:piRNA from 1 species